CAGAGACAAGGUUGUUAUGCCGAAAAGGCAAUAGCUUCCCCUCUUGGACUUUUCAGCCCGAUUUCUGAUCAACUCUGCAAAACCAACUCUUCAUUCAAAUCUCUUAUUCUGAAAGUCUCGGCUUUUAAGAAAGAGGCGGAUUUAUUUGACUGACCCGGUGCCAGCUGAGACGCUCCGAGGACAGACAAUAAGUGGCAGCGAUCAGAUCAGACAAAAGACAUAAGAUGACCGAGGGCCGUCUGUGCCAGGUUCACCUCCUUGAUGGCAGGAAGCUGGAGCUGCUGGUUCAGCCCAAGCUGUUGUCCCGUGAGCUGUUAGAUUUGGUGGCCUCGCAUUUUAACCUGAAGGAGAAAGAAUACUUUGGGUUGUGCUUCAUAGAUGACACUGGCCAGAAUAACUGGCUCCAGCUGGAUCGUAAAGUCCUUGAUCAUGACUUCUCCAAGACUGCAGGGCCUCUGGAGCUGAAGUUCCUUGUGAGGUUUUAUAUUGAGAAGAUCACCUUCUUGAAAGAGAACCCAACAGUGGAGCUGUUCUUCCUGAACGCUAAAUCUUUAGUGUUUAAUGAGACCAUCGAAGUGGAAAGUGAAAAUGUUUUCAAGUUAGCCGCAUUCGCAUUGCAGGAGGCCAAAGGAGAUUACACCAGUGCUGAGACUGCCAGAUCAGACCUGAAGCAACUCCCAGUUCUUCCCACCAGAGUAUUAAGGGAGCAUCCAUCUCUCAAUUACUGUGAGGACAAAGUGAUUGAACACUACAAGAAACUGAAGGGGCUGACCAGAGGACAAGCCAUUGUGCAGUAUCUGGCCCUGGUGGAGUCCCUGCCGACAUAUGGAGUCCAUUAUUACCCAGUGAAGGACAAGCAAGAAAUACCAUGGUGGCUAGGAGUUAGCUACAAAGGCAUUGGCCAGUACGAUUUGCAGGAUAAACUGAAACCAAGAAAGUUGUUUCAGUGGAAGCAGUUGGAGAAUUUGUAUUUCCGAGAGAAGAAAUUUGCUGUCGAAGUGAACGACCCGCACAGGAGAACAGUGACCAAGCGAACUUUCGGACAGUCUAGUCUGGUUAUUCACACAUGGUAUGCCAGCCACUCUCUGAUUAAAACCAUCUGGGUGAUGGCCAUCAGUCAACACCAGUUCUACCUGGACAGGAAACAAAGCAAAUCAAAAAUGACCACAACCAGGAGUUCAGGAGACAUCGCCAUGGACCUCACAGAGAUCUGCGCCCCGCGGAUCAGUAAACUUUCCAGCAUUGAGAGCAAAGACCAGCUUAUCAUGGCCAGCAACGGAAGCCUCAUCUCAGCCGGUUCUGCUGACUCUGAAGUCAGCGAGGAACAGAAGAAAGAAAAGAUUGCAGAGUUGAAAAAGAAAGAAAAGGGUCUUCAAGAGACACUGUCAAAGAAACUUGAGGAACUGAAGAAGAUCUGCAUGAGAGAAGCUGUGCUUACGGGCAGAUUGCCUAAAGAGUAUCCCUUGGCCACAGGUGAGAAGGUUCCUCAGGUACGACGGCGUGUUGGGACAGCCUUCAAGCUGGAUGACCUUUUCCCCUAUGAUGAGGACCCACAUCUGAGGAAUCUGGAGAGCAUGUUCGCCUUGCAGCAGAAGAUCGUGGAAGCAGCCGUAAAGUUAUCCAACGAGGGUGAACUCAGCAAGACGGUGAAGAAAAAGAGGAGAAACAACUGUCUGGAUGCAAUUAGGAAGCUGGAGGAGAUCGAGAAGGAGAUCAACACCUACAGGAUCAAGAAAGGAAAGACACCCACUCAGAGGGCCUCACUGAUCUUAGCAGAUGAUGUCAACCCUUCAGACCUCAGCUCUCUAUCUGACAGCCUCACUCUGGAUGAUGAUGAUGAGCUUGCUACCCAGAGGCAGCGGUCCAGAUCGGUUCAGUAUUCCCCGAGACCACACCAUGCAGAAACUCUGGACAUCCACUACAGCCAAGACAGACAUGCCUCUGCCAAUGACCAGCAUGCAGACUGCAGAAUAAAUUAUGAUGUCCAGGAAUCACUACAUCCCUACAGUCACCGUGAUGCCUUAUCAAGCCACAGAAGCCCGUAUAAACCGGCUUCCAGACAGCCACAUGAUGCCCGCAGCAUGCCCCCUACCCCCCUCCUCACACGCAACGCUUACAGCAGCACCCAGCUCAGAUCAGAGGAUGCACCACAACAUUUCCGCCAGCGUAGCGGUAGUCUGGAGUCCCAGUCUCAGUUCCAGACGGAAACCGAACCCCCUGUGCCAACGCUCACCUACUCCACAGCCCGGCGCAGCAACAGCACUGAGGUCCUCGAUGAUGGCUCCUCCUAUACAAGCCAGUCCAGCGUAGAGUACAGUGUCCCCGGUAACCCCACCCACAGACGCAGAGCUCGCGGCCGCCACAGAAAAGACAUGUAUGCCAACACGGGCAGCAUGCCCAACCUGGCUCAGCCAGACACCCGCUGCUACGCCUACCAGCCUCGGGCCAGACCCACCACGACAGCCUACUAUGUGACGGGCUAUCCAAGCUACGCAGAACCAGAGUCUUACUCCAAUGGACUCUACAUGUACGACAGUGAGAUGGAAGGACACUAUAACGUCAAUCCUUCCUACCACCCAACCCCAACAGCUUAUCAUAGCCACGAUAUGCACAGUCACUACAGUAAUGACGAGAUAGAUGGCAUGUCACAGAACCUGUACGCCACGCUGCGGCCAUCCAGGAACCGCCCGGUGCCCCGCAGCAACGAGCAGGUCAGUAGGAACAUCCAGAAGGCUUUGGUGUCUGAACACUUGAGAGGCUGGUACCAACGCAACGCUGCACACAAACAGACAGCAUACAGCUUUGACAGAGGCUCCCAGCAGAGCGUGGGCUAUCAGACCAUGCCUGCACCCUACAGCCACAACAACAGAAACACCUCCUACUCCACAGUGUCCUCCAGUGGAAACUGGCACAGCCACAUGAGUGGUGGUGGUGGUAUGUCAGAAUACGACAUGCCCGUGCAUGCGCCGCAGUCCUACUCUUACAGCACAGCCCCCUACAGCCACUCCGCCCACAACAGAUAUGGCACCUCCCAGCUCUUUAAGGGCUCCUGGCACAGCCCUGAUGGCCAGAGGCGCUGUGCCCUUUUCCCUGCUAGUUCUUCCUCCUCUACCUCCUCCCUGCCCUCCUCUUUUCCCUCCUCCUCCCCUGGCUGUCGGGUCAGGCAGGUGACCUCCAACCAUGUGCAGCCACAAUCCUCCAGAGGGCACAAGCUCAGUAAGGUGUCCUUUGUGAAAGAUGUCCCCCAGAGUUUGAGUGGCGGAGCUGUGAUAGGAUGGCGUGCCCUGCGGGGCCUUUAGAGAGGUGUGGUGCUGUUGCCUAUGCUACUGACCUGGAAAAUUAACCCCCUCCCCCCAAUAAUUAAAGUCACAGCACAGAAGAAAGGAUCAUACAUAGAUGUCAGUGAAAUGGACCCAAACAUCAAUAACCAAAUGCACACUAACCCGGAGCCAGAAGACCAGAUUUACUGGCACGAAGAUUCAAAACCGGGAACAAUAGUGUAGCUGCCUAUCUGACAUCGUGCUGUAUUAACAUUUUACCAUGACAAAUUGUCAUUGUGCCUUAGACUGCACUUACCUGUUUUUCUGUUCAAGUGGAUCCAAAGAAUGAAGAAACUUAACUUCUGUGGAAUUCAGUGUGUAAAGAAAAUGAAUGCAAUUGCCAAACUGAUCACAUCCUUGUGUUUAACAAUAACAAAACCCCACAGGAGCAUCUACAUGUCUGGAUUGCGAGUGUUUGUGGUGAUGGCACUUGUGCACUGAAACUAUACCAGGACCUGCUGUGCACUGCGUGGUAUAGCCAAAGUAAAAACGUAGAAUAAACUUCAAGUGUUUCUCUGUAGAGAUGCCGGCUUCACAAACAAAAGGACCAGGACUGUCUCUGUAAGAGGAUACUGAGCCGCAAUGAACAAUGAGAAUGACUCAUCCUGAUCUGCCACUUACACAAAUGUGUGAACCCUGUAACCAUGAAGGACUGGACAAGCAUUAAUAAUGACAUUAUUAAAAUGAAGGAUUGAACUCAUUAAAAAUGAGUCAAAAAGAUGGCUACUUCCUGGAAGAUUUUGCAGUCACCAGAUCCAGAUUUAUCGUAGCGUUGCUUGUAGCUACCACCGCGCUUCCUUGUAGUCUUGUUUGUCAUUUAAAAAGUUUUCCGUUUUUCUCAGUCAGUACUUACAAUAUAGUCGAGUCAAGUGGAAUGCUUAUGAAUGGUAUUACCCAAAGUCACCAACUUUGAUAUCACUGCCACAUCUGAUCAGUCACUGCAGGAAGACAACAAAUUAUUUUUAACAUGGUUAUUUCAUCCAUGCUGGAAAUCAUGGACUGGUGCUCCCAAUUUCUCUAAAGAGAAUGAUGCUGUGUGUACAUGUUGGUAUUGUAAAUACACUGGUUCUGUCUUUUUGUUUUUUAGAGCAUUUUUAUGUAUUUGAAAAGCAUGUAAUAUAUAGUAAACAAUUGUUGUUAAGCUGGUUCUUAGUAAUUUGUAUAAUUGCAUUUGUUUGAAUAAAAAAAACAGCAUUUGAAUCAGC